rnacentral:miRNA from 1 species
UAGUGUUGUCCCCCUGAGUGGC